rnacentral:tRNA from 1 species
UGGCACAGUGGUUAAGUGCUCGGCUGCUAACUGAAAGGCUGGUGGUUCAAAUCCAUC